CAGAUUGAACGCUGGCGGCAGGCCUAACACAUGCAAGUCGAGCGGAAACGAGUUAUCUGAACCUUCGGGGAACGAUAACGGCGUCGAGCGGCGGACGGGUGAGUAAUGCCUAGGAAAUUGCCCUGAUGUGGGGGAUAACCAUUGGAAACGAUGGCUAAUACCGCAUAACACCUACGGGUCAAAGAGGGGGACCUUCGGGCCUCUCGCGUCAGGAUAUGCCUAGGUGGGAUUAGCUAGUUGGUGAGGUAAUGGCUCACCAAGGCGACGAUCCCUAGCUGGUCUGAGAGGAUGAUCAGCCACACUGGAACUGAGACACGGUCCAGACUCCUACGGGAGGCAGCAGUGGGGAAUAUUGCACAAUGGGCGCAAGCCUGAUGCAGCCAUGCCGCGUGUGUGAAGAAGGCCUUCGGGUUGUAAAGCACUUUCAGUCGUGAGGAAGGUAGUGUAGUUAAUAGCUGCAUUAUUUGACGUUAGCGGACAGAAGAAGCACCGGCUAACUCCGUGCCAGCAGCCG
rnacentral:rRNA from 1 species